rnacentral:rRNA from 1 species
AUUUGGCUUACCUUUCGAUUAAUAUAUGGAGGAAAUAAUUUAAGUCCGUGCUGUAAAUUUAUUUAUAUAAAGUUUGAUUUUUGCUUAUAGUUUUAGUUUUAUUUAACAGUUGUAAUGAGCUUAAUAUAAAAUUAUAAAAUUUAGUAAUUGAAAUUAUUUGUAAUUUUAGAGAUAUUUAUGAAGGUAUAAAUAAUAGAUUUUAUAGAAAUUAAGAUAAUUAUAAUUGGUUAAAUUUGUGCCAGCAUCCGCGGUUAGACUAAUAAUUAAAGUUAAAAUUUUUGAUUUAUAAUUAAUUUUAUUUAUUUUAGUUUAUUUUAUUUAGGUGAAAUUAGAUUUUAAUGUUUUAAAAAAAGAUUUUAUGAUAUUUUGUUUGUUAAAAAAGGAUUAGAUACCCUAGUAUAAUGAAAUUUAAAUUUAAGGUAGUUAGAAUAUUGAAAGUUAUGGUCUAUAAAAUUAAAUGAUUUGGCGGUAAAUUAAUUUGUUUAGAGGAACUUGUUAUUUAAUUGAUAAUACACAUUUUUACUUACCUUAAUAUUUAUGUUUGUAUACCGCCGUUAAAAUUAAUAUUUUUAUAGAAUGAAUUUUUUUUUAAUUAUUUUUAGUUUAUCAGGUUAAGGUGCAGUUAAUUUUGAGGGUUUUGAUGAGUUACAUUUUAUUUUAUAAAUUAUGGAUAAUUAAUUGUAAUUAGUUUUGUUUGAAGGUGGAUUUAAAAGUAAGUUUUCAUUAGAAAGGAAAAUUGAAUUUAACUCUAGUUUAUGUACAUAUUGCCCGUCGCUCUUGUUAUUUAAAAAUAGGAUAAGUCGUAACAUAGUAGGCCCACCUGAAGGUGGGCCUAGGUUGAA